CGGGCAUAAUGGAAUAUAAUAUUUUGAUUCAUUUGCUUAAUACUAUGCUUUAAGUGUACUCUUGUUAUGUCAAUUCGAUGCUUUAUUUGUAGAACUCUUAGCCACGCUUUGCCAUCUUUAUUAUUUAAGCGUGUUUCCAGACCCCACGACGAGGACGUGGUUCUACCUUGGGGUCCAUAUAAUUUUUUUUUUUUUUUUUUUUUAAUUUUUUUUAGUCAUUAUAUAUGUAUAUGUAAUAUGUACAUAACAUUUAUACAUUUUGUACAUGGUGGUCCCAUUUUGAUAAGCCGUAGAUUUUU
rnacentral:lncRNA from 1 species